CUGCCAUUUGGGGCAUUUGUACAGUGCCUCCGGGAUUCACAAAGACAUAUUGGUGAGACUGAGAAUGCUACUUGGGAAAGAGAAUGGACAGCCUAGAGAAGAGAGAGAGGCAGAAGGAAUCUGGUCAUCUGUUUCAGGAUAAAACAUCAAGAAAUAAAUGUUCCAGGGGAAGGAAUGACUGGAAAGGCAUCUUUUCAACUCUCCCCUCACUGAGCAGGAUCUGGAGAUGAACAAGGUGGAGAAAAUGACCAUUCAGCUACAGAUGAUGACCUGUUAGAGGAAUGAACUGCAUUGAAUCUUGGACCAUUAUACUAAUAACGAUUUGAACAGCA